rnacentral:rRNA from 1 species
AUUGAACGCUGGCGGCAGGCUUAACACAUGCGAGUCGAGCGGAGAGAAGUAGCUUGCUACUGAUCUUAGCGGCGGACGGGUGAGUAAUGCUUAGGAAUCUGCCUAUUAGUGGGGGACAACAUUUCGAAAGGAAUGCUAAUACCGCAUACGUCCUACGGGAGAAAGCAGGGGAUCUUCGGACCUUGCGCUAAUAGAUGAGCCUAAGUCGGAUUAGCUAGUUGGUGGGGUAAAGGCCUACCAAGGCGGCGAUCUGUAGCGGGUCUGAGAGGAUGAUCCGCCACACUGGGACUGAGACACGGCCCAGACUCCUACGGGAGGCAGCAGUGGGGAAUAUUGGACAAUGGGCGGAAGCCUGAUCCAGCCAUGCCGCGUGUGUGAAGAAGGCCUUAUGGUUGUAAAGCACUUUAAGCGAGGAGGAGGCUACUUUAGUUAAUACCUAGAGAUAGUGGACGUUACUCGCAGAAUAAGCACCGGCUAACUCUGUGCCAGCCGCCGCGGUAAGAC